GGUUAAGCGACUAAGCGUACACGGUGGAUGCCCUGGCAGUCAGAGGCGAUGAAGGACGUGCUAAUCUGCGAAAAGCGCCGGCGAGGUGAUAUGAACCCUUGACCCGGCGAUGUCCGAAUGGGGAAACCCAGUGCAAUCCGUUGCACUAUCGUUAACUGAAUACAUAGGUUAACGAGGCGAACCGGGGGAACUGAAACAUCUAAGUACCCCGAGGAAAAGAAAUCAACCGAGAUUCCCCCAGUAGCGGCGAGCGAACGGGGAGCAGCCCAGAGUCUGAAUCAGCUUGUGUGUUAGUGGAAGCGUCUGGAAAGUCGCACGGUACAGGGUGAAGGGCGGGACACGUGGUAUCCUGUCUGAAUAUGGGGGGACCAUCCUCCAAGGCUAAAUACUCCUGACUGACCGAUAGUGAACCAGUACCGUGAGGGAAAGGCGAAAAGAACCCCGGCGAGGGGAGUGAAAAAGAACCUGAAACCGUGUACGUACAAGCAGUGGGAGCACCUUCGGGUGUGACUGCGUACCUUUUGUAUAAUGGGUCAGCGACUUAUAUUCUGUAGCAAGGUUAACCGUAUAGGGGAGCCGAAGGGAAACCGAGUCUUAACUGGGCGUUAAGUUGCAGGGUAUAGACCCGAAACCCGGUGAUCUAGCCAUGGGCAGGUUGAAGGUUGGGUAACACUAACUGGAGGACCGAACCGACUAAUGUUGAAAAAUUAGCGGAUGACCUGUGGCUGGGGGUGAAAGGCCAAUCAAACCGGGAGAUAGCUGGUUCUCCCCGAAAGCUAUUUAGGUAGCGCCUCGUGAACUCAUCUUCGGGGGUAGAGCACUGUUUCGGCUAGGGGGCCAUCCCGGCUUACCAACCCGAUGCAAACUACGAAUACCGAAGAAUGUUAUCACGGGAGACACACGGCGGGUGCUAACGUCCGUCGUGAAGAGGGAAACAACCCAGACCGCCAGCUAAGGUCCCAAAGUCAUGGUUAAGUGGGAAACGAUGUGGGAAGGCCCAGACAGCCAGGAUGUUGGCUUAGAAGCAGCCAUCAUUUAAAGAAAGCGUAAUAGCUCACUGGUCGAGUCGGCCUGCGCGGAAGAUGUAACGGGGCUAAACCAUGCACCGAAGCUGCGGCAGCGACGCUUAUGCGUUGUUGGGUAGGGGAGCGUUCUGUAAGCCGUUGAAGGUGGCCUGUGAGGGUUGCUGGAGGUAUCAGAAGUGCGAAUGCUGACAUAAGUAACGAUAAAGCGGGUGAAAAGCCCGCUCGCCGGAAGACCAAGGGUUCCUGUCCAACGUUAAUCGGGGCAGGGUGAGUCGACCCCUAAGGCGAGGCCGAAAGGCGUAGUCGAUGGGAAACAGGUUAAUAUUCCUGUACUUGGUGUUACUGCGAAGGGGGGACGGAGAAGGCUAUGUUAGCCGGGCGACGGUUGUCCCGGUUUAAGCAUGUAGGCGGAGGUUCCAGGUAAAUCCGGUACCUUUUAACGCUGAGGUGUGAUGACGAGGCACUACGGUGCUGAAGUAACAAAUGCCCUGCUUCCAGGAAAAGCCUCUAAGCAUCAGGUAACAUCAAAUCGUACCCCAAACCGACACAGGUGGUCAGGUAGAGAAUACCAAGGCGCUUGAGAGAACUCGGGUGAAGGAACUAGGCAAAAUGGUGCCGUAACUUCGGGAGAAGGCACGCUGAUAUGUAGGUGAAGCCCCUGCGGGUGGAGCUGAAAUCAGUCGAAGAUACCAGCUGGCUGCAACUGUUUAUUAAAAACACAGCACUGUGCAAACACGAAAGUGGACGUAUACGGUGUGACGCCUGCCCGGUGCCGGAAGGUUAAUUGAUGGGGUUAGCGGUAACGCGAAGCUCUUGAUCGAAGCCCCGGUAAACGGCGGCCGUAACUAUAACGGUCCUAAGGUAGCGAAAUUCCUUGUCGGGUAAGUUCCGACCUGCACGAAUGGCGUAAUGAUGGCCAGGCUGUCUCCACCCGAGACUCAGUGAAAUUGAACUCGCUGUGAAGAUGCAGUGUACCCGCGGCAAGACGGAAAGACCCCGUGAACCUUUACUAUAGCUUGACACUGAACACUGGUCCUUGAUGUGUAGGAUAGGUGGGAGGCUUUGAAGCGUGGACGCCAGUCUGCGUGGAGCCAUCCUUGAAAUACCACCCUUUAAUGGCUGGUGUUCUAACGUAGACCCGUAAUCCGGGUUGCGGACAGUGUCUGGUGGGUAGUUUGACUGGGGCGGUCUCCUCCCAAAGAGUAACGGAGGAGCACGAAGGUUAGCUAAUCCUGGUCGGACAUCAGGAGGUUAGUGCAAUGGCAUAAGCUAGCUUGACUGCGAGAGUGACGGCUCGAGCAGGUGCGAAAGCAGGUCAUAGUGAUCCGGUGGUUCUGAAUGGAAGGGCCAUCGCUCAACGGAUAAAAGGUACUCCGGGGAUAACAGGCUGAUACCGCCCAAGAGUUCAUAUCGACGGCGGUGUUUGGCACCUCGAUGUCGGCUCAUCACAUCCUGGGGCUGAAGUAGGUCCCAAGGGUAUGGCUGUUCGCCAUUUAAAGUGGUACGCGAGCUGGGUUUAGAACGUCGUGAGACAGUUCGGUCCCUAUCUGCCGUGGGCGCUGGAGAAUUGAGGGGGGCUGCUCCUAGUACGAGAGGACCGGAGUGGACGCAUCACUGGUGUUCGGGUUGUCAUGCCAAUGGCACUGCCCGGUAGCUAAAUGCGGAAGAGAUAAGUGCUGAAAGCAUCUAAGCACGAAACUUGCCCCGAGAUGAGUUCUCCCUGAGACUUAAAGUCUCCUGAAGGAACGUU
rnacentral:rRNA from 1 species